GACGGUGUGGUCGAGUGGUAAGAUGUCACGUUGUGGCCGCGCCAGCCUAGGCUCAAUUCCCAGCAAAUGCU